UACGUAGGGUGCGAGCGUUGUCCGGAAUUAUUGGGCGUAAGAGCUUGUCGGCGGUUUGUCGCGUCUGCUGUGAAAAUCCGAGGCUCAACCUCGGACUUGCAGUGGGUACGGGCAGACUAGAGUGUGGUAGGGGAGACUGGAAUUCCUGGUGUAGCGGUGAAAUGCGCAGAUAUCAGGAGGAACACCGAUGGCGAAGGCAGGUCUCUGGGCCACCACUGACGCUGAGAAGCGAAAGCAUGGGGAGCGAACAGG
rnacentral:rRNA from 1 species